CUCUCUCUCUCUCUCUCUAAGACAAGCACACAUGUUCAAAUGCCCAUGAAGCAUCUCUGAGGAAGUAUCCAAAUGAUACGUUAGAUAUUCUGAUCACUAGAAGGAGAUAUUCCUGGUAGGUUUUUGGGGUUAAGACUUCAGAUUCAAAUUUUUGGAUCACCUUUUAGUGAUGUAGUCUCCAGUUGGUCCACUGUCUAUACGAAUGAGUUGAUUUCCUGGAUAUGAAUUUUUUUGUUCCCUUCGGAUUGAAUCAACCGAACAUUCCUGAUAAUGACGUCAGUUGGCUUUCUGGUUUAUGAAUAUGUACAACUUUUUGGACUUUGCCUUAAUUUGUUUGCUGAGUAGGCAUGCAUUAUGUUUAGGAUGCCGUUUCAAUUGCUAGAACAGAAGAAGAACCUGAGGCAGCAGCCAGAAAAUUAACAGAGGCUGCUUUUACGCGUGGCAGUGCAGACAACAUAACAUGCAUUGCGGUGAGAUUCCAUCACGACAAAGCAGAUCCAGCCAAUGCCCAGAGUAAUUAGAAACUGGUAUUUAUGGUGCAUGUGUAGAUUUAUUGGUGCUUAGGCAAAAUCUAAUUUUGCAAUCUGGGCAUGCAUGACAACUGAAUGUGCAUAUGGAGGAGUUCAUUUGUUUAUUCAUUGUUUUGUUUCUUAAUAUACUCAUGUAUGCAGAACAUGGACUCAAGUGUCCUGUUUUAUUCCAAACUCGUUCAUACAUCUGUAUGUCUACCUUACUGGUUUUAAAUUUCAUGUAAUAAAAGGUGUUUAGUGUCGUCUUUCC
rnacentral:misc_RNA from 1 species